rnacentral:rRNA from 1 species
AACGAACGCUGGCGGCAGGCUUAACACAUGCAAGUCGAGCGGAAGUUGGAGAGCUUGCUCUUCAACUUUAGCGGCGGACGGGUGAGUAACACGUGGGCAACCUGCCCUGCAGAUCGGGAUAACUCCGGGAAACCGGUGCUAAUACCGAAUAGUUUUCGCCACCUCCUGGUGGCGUACGGAAAGACGGUUUCGGCUGUCACUGCAGGAUGGGCCCGCGGCGCAUUAGCUAGUUGGUGGGGUAACGGCCCACCAAGGCGACGAUGCGUAGCCGACCUGAGAGGGUGAUCGGACACACUGGGACUGAGACACGGCCCAGACUCCUACGGGAGGCAGCAGUAGGGAAUCUUCCGCAAUGGACGAAAGUCUGACGAAGCAACGCCGCGUGAGUGACGAAGGUUUUCGGAUCGUAAAACUCUGUUGUGAGGGAAGAACAAGUACCACUUAACUACUGGUACCUUGACGGUACCUCACCAGAAAGCCACGGCUAACUACGUGCCAGCCGCCGCAGUAAAAC